rnacentral:rRNA from 1 species
CCUACGGGUGGCAGCAGUGAGGAAUAUUGGUCAAUGGCCGCAGGGCUGAACCAGCCAAGUCGCGUGAGGGAUGACGGUCCUAUGGAUUGUAAACCUCUUUUGUCAGGGAGCAAAGGGCGCCACGUGUGGCGUUUUGCGAGUACCUGAAGAAAAAGCAUCGGCUAACUCCGUGCCAGCAGCCGCGGUAAUACGGAGGAUGCGAGCGUUAUCCGGAUUUAUUGGGUUUAAAGGGUGCGCAGGCGGGAGAUCAAGUCAGCGGUAAAAUGUCGGGGCUCAACCCCGGCCGGCCGUUGAAACUGGUUUUCUAGAGUUGGAGAGAAGUAUGCGGAAUUCGUGGUGUAGCGGUGAAAUGCAUAGAUAUCACGAAGAACUCCGAUUGCGAAGGCAGCAUACCGGCUCCAUACUGACGCUGAGGCACGAAAGCGUGGGGAUCGAACAGGAUUAGAUACCCUUGUAGUC